rnacentral:rRNA from 1 species
CUUGCUCCCUGAUGUUAGCGGCGGACGGGUGAGUAACACGUGGGUAACCUGCCUGUAAGACUGGGAUAACUCCGGGAAACCGGGGCUAAUACCGGAUGCUUGUUUGAACCGCAUGGUUCAAACAUAAAAGGUGGCUUCGGCUACCACUUACAGAUGGACCCGCGGCGCAUUAGCUAGUUGGUGAGGUAAUGGCUCACCAAGGCAACGAUGCGUAGCCGACCUGAGAGGGUGAUCGGCCACACUGGGACUGAGACACGGCCCAGACUCCUACGGGAGGCAGCAGUAGGGAAUCUUCCGCAAUGGACGAAAGUCUGACGGAGCAACGCCGCGUGAGUGAUGAAGGUUUUCGGAUCGUAAAGCUCUGUUGUUAGGGAAGAACAAGUACCGUUCGAAUAGGGCGGUACCUUGACGGUACCUAACCAGAAAGCCACGGCUAACUACGUGCCAGCAGCCGCGGUAAUACGUAGGUGGCAAGCGUUGUCCGGAAUUAUUGGGCGUAAAGGGCUCGCAGGCGGUUUCUUAAGUCUGAUGUGAAAGCCCCCGGCUCACCCGGGGAGGGUCAUUGGAAACUGGGGAACUUGAGUGCAGAAGAGGAGAGUGGAAUUCCACGUGUAGCGGUGAAAUGCGUAGAGA